GCCUGGCUGGCUCAGUCAGUAGAGCUUGAGACUCUUGAUUUUGGGGUUGUAAGUUCAAGCCUCACUUUGGGCU
rnacentral:tRNA from 1 species